rnacentral:rRNA from 1 species
CGCUGGCGGCGUGCCUAACACAUGCAAGUCGAGCGAGGAGAUUCCUUCGGGAUGAUCCUAGCGGCGGACGGGUGAGUAACACGUGGGCAACCUGCCUCAUAGAGAGGAAUAGCCUUCCGAAAGGGAGAUUAAUACCUCAUAACAUUGCAGUUUCGCAUGGAACAGCAAUUAAAGGAGCAAUCCGCUAUGAGAUGGGCCCGCGGCGCAUUAGCUAGUUGGUGAGGUAACGGCUCACCAAGGCGACGAUGCGUAGCCGACCUGAGAGGGUGAUCGGCCACAUUGGGACUGAGACACGGCCCAGACUCCUACGGGAGGCAGCAGUGGGGAAUAUUGCACAAUGGGGGAAACCCUGAUGCAAGCAACGCCGCGUGAGUGAUGACGGCCUUCGGGUUGUAAAGCUCUGUCUUCAGGGACGAUAAUGACGGUACCUGAGGAGGAAGCCACGGCUAACUACGUGCCAGCAGCCGC